GACGUAGGGCGCGAGCGUUGUCCGGAUUUAUUGGGCGUAAAGAGCUCGUAGGCGGCUUGCCGCGUCGCCUGUGAAAACCCGUGGCUCAACCAUGUGGUCUGCAGUCGAUACGGGCAGGCUAGAAUUCGGUAGGGGAGACUGGAAUUCCUGGUGUAGCGGUGAAAUGCGCAGAUAUCAGGAGGAACACCGGUGGCGAAGGCGGGUCUCUGGGCCGAUAUUGACGCUGAGGAGCGAAAGCGUGGGGAGCGAACAGG
rnacentral:rRNA from 1 species